UACGGGGGGGGCAAGCGUUGUUCGGAAUUACUGGGGUGUAAAGGGCGCGUAGGCGGCCUGCUAAGUCACACGUGAAAUCCCUCGGGCUCAACCGGGGGAACUGCGUGUGAUACUGGCGGGCUUGAAUUCGGGGAGAGGGAUGUGGAAUUCCAGGUGUAGCGGUGAAAUGCGUAGAUAUCAGGAGGAACACCGGUGGCGAAGGCGGCCCUCUGGACGGUGACUGACGCUGAGACGCGAAAGCGUGGGGAGCAAACAGG
rnacentral:rRNA from 1 species